UACAGAGGGUGCGAGCGUUAAUCGGAAUUACUGGGCGUAAAGCGUGCGUAGACGGUUAUAUAAGUCGGGUAUGAAAGCCCCGGGCUCAACCUGGGAAUUGCAUUCGAGACUGCAUAGCUAGGGUGCGGAAGAGGGAAGCGGAAUUUCCGGUGUAGCGGUGAAAUGCGUAGAUAUCGGAAGGAACAUCAGUGGCGAAAGCGGCUUCCUGGUCCAGCACCGACGUUCAGGCACGAAAGCGUGGGGAGCAAACAGG
rnacentral:rRNA from 1 species